rnacentral:rRNA from 1 species
CGCGUAGGCGGUUUGGUUAGUCUGGUGUGAAAUCCCGGGGCUUAACCCCGGAACUGCACUGGAUACUGCCAGGCUUGAGUGCGGGAGAGGAGAGUGGAAUUCCCAGUGUAGAGGUGAAAUUCGUAGAUAUUGGGAGGAACACCGGUGGCGAAGGCGGCUCUCUGGACCGCAACUGACGCUGAGGCGCGAAAGCUAGGGGAGCAAACG